CAACUCGCCUACAUGAAGUUGGAAUCGCUAGUAAUCGCGAAUCAGAAUGUCGCGGUGAAUACGUUCCCGGGUCUUGUACACACCGCCCGUCACACCACGAGAGUUUACAACACCCGAAGUCAGUGGCCUAACCGCAAGGAGGGAGCUGCCUAAGGUGGGGUAGAUGAUUGGGGUGAAGUCGUAACAAGGUAUC
rnacentral:rRNA from 1 species